GACGAACGCUGGCGGCGUGCUUAACACAUGCAAGUCGAACGGAAAGGCCCUGCUUUUUUGGGGUUCUCGAGUGGCGAACGGGUGCGUAACACGUGAGUAACCUGCCCUUGACUUUGGUAUAACUUCAGGAAACUGGGGCUAAUACCGGAUAGGAUCUCCUGCUGCAUUGUGGGGGUUGGAAAGUUUCGGCUGUUGGGGUUGGACUCGCGGCUUAUCAGCUUGUUGGUGGGGUAGUGGCUUACCAAGGCAUUGACGGGUAGCCGGCCUGGGAGGGUGGACGGGCACAAGGGGACUGAGGGAGGGAGCAGAGGCGAACGGGAGGCAGCGGGGGGGAGUAUUGCACAGUGGGCGGGAGUCUGAUGCGGCGACGCCGGGGGCGGGAUGACGGCCUUCGGGUUGAAAACAGCUGUAGGCUGUGACGAAGCGGGAGUGACGGUAAUGGGUGAAGAAGCACCGGCUAACUACGUG
rnacentral:rRNA from 1 species